UACGUAGGGGGCAAGCGUUGUCCGGAAUCAUUGGGCGUAAAGCGCGUGUAGGCGGCUUGUUAAGUCCGCUCUGAAAGUCCAGGGCUCAACCCUGGAAUGCGGGUGGAUACUGGCAAGCUCGAGUCCGGAAGAGGCGAGUGGAAUUCCUGGUGUAGCGGUGAAAUGCGCAGAUAUCAGGAGGAACACCAAUGGCGAAGGCAGCUCGCUGGGACGGUACUGACGCUGAGACGCGAAAGCGUGGGGAGCAAAC
rnacentral:rRNA from 1 species